UACCUGCAGCUCAAGUGGUGACCGUUAUUAUUGGGCCUAAAACGUUUGUAGCCGGUUUAGUAAAUGCCUGGGUAAAUCGUGUAGCUCAACUAUACGAAUUCCGGGUAGACUGCUAAACUUGAGACCGGGAGAAGUUAGAGGUACUCCUGGGGUAGAGGUAAAAUUCUGUAAUCCUAGGGGGACCACCAGUGGCGAAGGCGUCUGACUAGAACGGGUCUGACGGUGAGGGACGAAGCCCUGGGGCGCAAACCGGAUUAGAUACCCGGGUAGUCCAGGGUGUAAACGCUGCUUGCUUGAUGUUAGUCGGGCUCCGAGCCCGAUUAGUGUCGGAGAGAAGUUGUUAAGCAAGCUGCCUGGGAAGUACGGUCGCAAGACUGAAACUUAAAGGAAUUGGCGGGGAGCACAGCAACGGGUGGAGCGUGCGGUUU
rnacentral:rRNA from 1 species